CGUUUUAUGUAAUUAAUAUAAAAUUAAAUCUGCCCAGUGAAAUUUAAACGGCCGCAGUACUUUGACUGUGCUAAGGUAGCAUAAUAAAUUGGCUUUUAAUUGAAGUCUUGUAUGAAAGAAUUCAUGGAUAAUUUCUGUCUUUAUAUAAGUAUUUAAAAUUUGCUUUUAAGGUGAAAAUACCUUUAAAUAUUUAAUAGACGAGAAGACCCUAGGAGUUAUUUGUCUUUGUUGGGGCGACAUUUCUUCAUUUAACAUGAAUAAAUAUUUUUGUUAAUUAAACGAUUAUUAUAAUUUUAAUUUAACUACCCUAGGGAUAACAGCAUAAUUUAUUUUUAAGUUUAUGACCUCGAUGUUGGAUUAGGAAAGUUUAAGGUUAAUAAUUUUAAUUCUAUGUUCUGUUCGAACAAAAAUUCCU
rnacentral:rRNA from 1 species